AGGAAUGGAACUUUGGGCCAUGCGGUGAGUGUUACAGCUCUAUUAGAAGCCGUGGGUCACAGAAGAGAACCGUGGAACCUAGAGACCAGUGUUCAGCUCGAUUGGGACGAACCUGGGCACUUAGCCGUGCAGAAACAAUGGCGAGCCUUUAGCCGGAUCGGGAGCAGUAAUGGGUGCCUCCAUGGACAGCGGACACCCUGCCGGAUCCAGAGGGGUGGAAGUCAGCGGCGGGUCUGCGAUGUGGGCAAACAACAGUGGUGGACAGGUUGUCUUGAAGAUCUUAGAAGAUAACUUAAGUGAGGGGGGCUGGAGAAAAAAUUUAGACCCUAUGGAGGCAUAUAAGGAAUCUGCUCUUUUAGAACAUAUUUUUGAAAUUUGGUGAGAUUGGACUCUUACGAGGAGUGAUUGAGAAGCUGCACUCUCAGAGAGUGAAGAACUCAAUUCCAGGUGACUACAGCACAGGAUGCAGGAAGCCAGUAGGUUUGGUUUAGGCAAAUUUCAAGAAGAGCAGUAUGGGCAUGGAACCAGGCUGGAGGUGGGAUUGGAGACACAGAUAGAAAGAAAUUAUUGG
rnacentral:lncRNA from 1 species